CACGUAGGCGGUUAGUCAAGCAUCUUGUGAAAUCCCUCGGCUCAACCGAGGAAUGGCCAGAUGAACUGGCUGACUUGAGCUGCACAGGGGCGACUGGAACUCUAGGUGGAGCGGUGAAAUGCGUAGAUAUCUAGAGGAACGCCGGUGGUGAAGACGGGUCGCUGGGUGCAUGCUGACGCUGAGGUGCGAAAGCGUGGGGAGCGAACGGGAUUAGAUACCCCGGUAGUCCACGCCGUAAACGAUGGGCACUAGGUUCAGGUGGGUUUGACCCCAUCCGGGCCGAAGCAAAAGUGUUUAGUGCCCCGCCUGGGGAGUACGGUCGCAAGGCUAAA
rnacentral:rRNA from 1 species